rnacentral:rRNA from 1 species
AUUGAACGCUGGCGGCAGGCCUAACACAUGCAAGUCGAGCGAGCGGCGGACGGGUGAGUAAUGCAUGGGGAUCUGCCCGAUAGAGGGGGAUAACUACUGGAAACUGUGGCUAAUACCGCAUACUAUCGGAUGAACCCAAAUGGGAUUAGCUAGUAGGUGGGGUAAAGGCUCACCUAGCCGACGAUCUCUAGCUGGUCUGAGAGGAUGAUCAGCCACACGGGGACUGAGACACGGCCCAGACUCCUACGGGAGGCAGCAGUGGGGAAUAUUGCACAAUGGGGGAAACCCUGAUCCAGCCAUGCCGCGUGUGCGAUGAAGGCCUUCGGGUUGUAAAGCACUUUUGGUAGGAAAGCGUUACCUACAGAAGAAGCACCGGCUAACUACGUGCCAGCAGCCGCGGUAAUAC